rnacentral:rRNA from 1 species
UACGAAGGGGGCUAGCGUUGUUCGGAAUUACUGGGCGUAAAGGGCGCGUAGGCGGUUGUGCAAGUCAGAUGUGAAAGCCCUGGGCUCAACCCAGGAGGUGCAUUUGAUACUGCAUGGCUAGAGUGUCGGAGAGGAUGGUGGAACUCCCAGUGUAGAGGUGAAAUUCGUAGAUAUUGGGAAGAACACCGGUGGCGAAGGCGACCAUCUGGACGACAACUGACGCUGAGGCGCGAAAGCGUGGGGAGCAAACAGG